ensembl:lncRNA
CAUCCUGAACCCAGACCAGGCCCCCAUCCUGAACCCAGACCAGGCCCCCCAUCCUGAACCCAGACCAGGCCCCCCAUCCUGAACCCAGACCAGGCCCCCCAUCCUGAACACAGACCAGGCCCCCCAUCCUGAACACAGACCAGGCCCGACCACCCAUCAGUCACAAAAUGGCUGCAAAAUAGAUAAAGCUGAGAAACACCAGAUCCCCUGCCCUCAUCACUGGACGCCUUAUUUCAUUCUUCUGUAUAUUAUUAUUAUUAUUAUUAUUGAUAUUUACUUGUUUAAACCAUGGAACGCACAUAAUUAACUUUUUUAUUUUCUGUGGAAUACAAAAAAACGGUUCGGUCUAGUUUAACUGUUGUUGCUAGAUAGUUCUCUAGUCUCGUUCAUGCGUUUCCUCUCCCCUGUUAAUCUACACAAGCAAUAGACAACACAAAUAACUGCUCAUAAUAUAAUCUAGUGUAUCUCAUUAUUGGAGGAGGGGGGGAUGUGGGCAUCAGUAGGUUGCUUUCAGAAGAAUCAGACGGUUGCUAUAGGAGAUGGUUGGAACAUAAGAAGAUGACGUCAUUGUCACAUCGUCAUAGAGAUUUAAUAAAUACACCAAACGGACAGCAGGUCGCUGGGGAGAGGACAAGUGUUCCCCAUUCCAAGGGAAUCCUCAUCGACCAAUCAAUACUCUGUAUCUGUCCUGGCUGUCAUCUUGCUUUGUGACAUCACUGUGUUUUUAAUGUGUAGCUAUGUCAGAGAGGAGACUGAGUUAAAGGGUUAGCUUCAGAAAAAAUUACCUGUGGUUCAUGUAGGUUUAGGAGACUGCUUUAUUCUCCCUCUAGUUGACAAUCUACUCCGGUAGUUUCUCUGCUUUCAUUGGAGGAGUUUGUUGACAGUGAUUUGGCUGACUGCCAGGGUGUGACAGUGAUUUGGCUGACUGCCAGGGUGAAACAACCCAAUACGUAUUUUAUAACCUUAUUUGACCGUUUCAGAAUUGGUGGUGUAAGGAACGAUUUACGUAACAAGGACUUUUUGUACUUGUUCUGCUGCAGAACAUAAGAUUUGUCAGAAAAAGAGGAGUGGAUUGUUUUAUUUUUGUUUACUCAUUUUUUUUCUUAUUAAAGAAAUUAAUUUGCUGGAAAAAAAUAUUUAUUUUUACCCCCCUUUCAAUCUGUCUAUUCCGUAGUAGAAUUAAUUUGUUGGACUAUGGAAUUCAAAAGGUUAUUUUUAUUUUCCCAAGGCCUGUUUUCUUUUAUUUUCUUCUUUUUUUUUGUUGAUAAAUCCCAGUUUAUUCCGCCCCCAAAUUGUGGAGGAAGUUUUUCGUAUUGAUAAACAUUUACAUUUUGUUUUUGGUGUAUUAUGUGUUAAGGUAUGCAAUUGUGUAACGUGCCGAGUGUUUUCCACGUAGUCUUUUUAGAGCGGAACGGUUUUUAGUUACCUAGUGUGGAUAUGAUGGCAGGAAGAGUGAUUGAUUGGCGCAGCUAGUAUCGGCUCAGUUGUAAAUAAGUUCCUUCACGUAGCAAGAAGUUAAAAAUAAAAUAAGAAACGUUUAAAAAAUAUAAAAAAAACAUUUGAAAAAAAAAUGGCUUUUUAUAUAAUUAUCUGUAACAAAAUUGGCUUUUAUAUGUUUGUCAUCUCGGUUGCUUUGUCUAGAUAUAAAAAAAAUAAUAAUAAUUAAAAAGGAAAUGUCUUCCUGCUCUGUCUUGUUCUCGCUUCUGUUUUUCCUCAUUGACUAUAAUGCAGAACCCUUCUUCUUGAUAUCGUUGCUAUGGUUAUAAUGCCCAAGUUGCGUUGGCAGGCAGGGAGGUCAGGAGGUUGUAUUAAGAACCCAACAUAGAAAUAGAAUCUAGAAGCGAUUGUUGAACAGCAACAGCUAGCUGAUGGAGAUUUGAGCUUUGUUCAAUCUGAUCUGACAGAUGUUUCGGUAUUAAAUUGUUUGUGAAUAUUACUAUGAAAAAUAAAACUUUUUAGUGCAUCCUUUUCUUACAAUUUCUGGAGAUGUGACUUAUUUUGUGUGAAUGUUGUGUUGCUAAUGAGGGGAGAGACAUCUUUUCCUUGACUUGGACACUGGUUGAGUUCACCACCACCUCUACUUAUGUGUAAAAUAUAAAGUACAUACUGUUCGGUUAUACAGUGGGGCAAAAAAGUAUUUAGUCAGCCACCAAUUGUGCAAGUUCUCCCACUUAAAAAGAUGAGAGAGGCCUGUAAUUUUAAUCAUAGGUACACUUCAACUAUGACAG